rnacentral:rRNA from 1 species
AUUGAACGCUGGCGGCAGGCCUAACACAUGCAAGUCGAGCGGAUGAAGGGAGCUUGCUCCUGGAUUCAGCGGCGGACGGGUGAGUAAUGCCUAGGAAUCUGCCUGGUAGUGGGGGAUAACGUCCGGAAACGGGCGCUAAUACCGCAUACGUCCUGAGGGAGAAAGUGGGGGAUCUUCGGACCUCACGCUAUCAGAUGAGCCUAGGUCGGAUUAGCUAGUUGGUGGGGUAAAGGCCUACCAAGGCGACGAUCCGUAACUGGUCUGAGAGGAUGAUCAGUCACACUGGAACUGAGACACGGUCCAGACUCCUACGGGAGGCAGCAGUAGGGAAUAUUGGGCAAUGGGCGAAAGCCUGAUCCAGCCAUGCCGCGUGUGUGAAGAAGGUCUUCGGAUUGUAAAGCACUUUAAGUUGGGAGGAAGGGAAGUAAGUUAAUACCUUGCUGUUUUGACGUUACCAACAGAAUAAGCACCGGCUAACUUCGUG